GUUUAUCGAUAAUGAGGAUCGUUAAACUCUCAGACAAUAAAGAGAAUGUUUGUUGCAUCACAGACAUGAUCGUAUGUUUUACUAACUAAACACAGCAUGUUGUGGAGGGCAUAUCAGUUUGUCUUGAAACAAUUUUACUGCACAAAGCAAAGGAUUUUUGGAAAGUGCAUUCACCCCUGUAAUUUGUCCAUACUGUAAAUUAUUUUUGCAGCAGUGAUCCAACUGGGAAAAACUGACCAAAAGCAACAGCGAUUUCUUUCAAACUUCCUUUUUGUCAGGGUCCCUGUGCCUACCCGGUCGGCUCAGUACGGCUACAUAUGUUUUGUAUUCCUUUUUUUAUUUUUUUCCUGCUCUCUCCUUUCCCCUCUUUCCCUCCUCCCUCUGCCUGGGCGGAGCUUACCUGCGGGCUCCUGCCCUUGGCCCACGCACCUGUGGCUCAUCACGAGUGAUCCAGCUCCUUUAUAAGACGGCAGCCCUGUGUUUCUCGUCGCUGGACCGUUGCCGACCCUCAUUCCCUGGACCUACCCCUGUGUUACCCGAGUGCGUGGAGUGUGAGGAGGAGUGGACGGAGAGUGUGCGUGUCUUUCCCGUUCGUGUGUGGACCCCCGGAGCCCGGCUUUCCCCUCACUUUUGUAAAUAAUCACCUGGUGCAUCAUAAUAAAGACUCUUGUGCUUUCAAGACCUAGAGCCUGCGCGUGAGUCCGUUCAGUCCCGUUGUGACACUUUUUUUUUUUAACCGUUUGGUGGAACUGGCGAUAAAAGGAAAAAAAGGAUUGUUUUCUGGAGAAAACAUUAACUCAACAAAAGUGACAACUGGACCAGCAGUUCGUUAACUCCAUCUGAUUGAGUAAAAUGGCACUAACUUGUACGAUACCUGCUAUAGACUCUGCACUAUGUGUUGAUCAGGUUAAAGACACUGAAAAGAAAAACUGGUGCAGACAGCUGCAUUUUGAAAGAGUGGAGUUGAACAAAAUGAAAAGUCUGGUAAUGGACAGAUGCAGGUUUAUCCAUAAUGAGGAUGGUUAAAACAGGCAAUAAAGAGGAUGUUUGUUGCAUCACAGACAUGAUAGGAUGUUUCACUAACUCAUAAAAACACGGCAUGUUGUGGAGGGCAUAGCAGUUUGUCUUGAAACAACUUUAAUCUCGAAAUUUUGUCUUUAUUCUCUUUUUUUGGGGGGGGGGCUUAAUAAUCGGCCAUAGUACACUGUAAAUGGUUUUAGUAAAUUUAACAGUAUUUUUACAGGGAUAUGUAUGUAUAAGAUACUCUAAAAUGUUUUUAAAUUAUUUUACUGCACAAAGCAAAGGAUUGUGGGAGAGUGUACAUUCACUGCUGUAAUUUGUCUGUACUGUAAAUUAUUUUGCAGCAGUGAUCCAACGCAGGAAAAACUGACCAAUAACAACAGAGAUUUCUUUCAAACUUCUUUUUUUUAAAAAAAAGUUUGGUGGAACCAACAGUAAAAGGAAAAAAGGAUUAUUUUCUGGAGAAAACAUUAACUCAACAAAAGUGAAAACUGGACCAACACAUUUCUUAAGCACCAUAAGCCAUAGCAACCUUUAGCAGUUCAUUAAUGUCACCGACUUGCUCGAUACCUGCUAUAGACUCUGCACACAUGGAAGCCAAUCAGAGAUCGUACACUGUUAAACUUCCAACAUCUGAGUUCAUUAUUAGCUGUUGAGGUUAAGCAUUCAGUCAACACAGAAACACUGGGGAGGAUGUUUUCUGUACUCUGUAAGGACCAGUGAUGGAUGUGGGGCUGAAGCCUUUAGGUUUAUAUUGUUAAAAAGUAAUUAUGAGAGAAUUUGUUUCAGGUCGUUUUUCAGAGUAACAUGAAAGUAACAUAAUGAAUAAUGUAACAAAUUAACUUUUAGUAAACUACUGCAUUACUUCUAAGAAAGGUGUUCUGUGUAAUAUGUUUAUUUAUUUCUCGAGUAAUAACCUCAACAGCGGUAAGCACAGAUAAUUUUGUUGAUAAUGAGAACGCACUGCUCAUUAAGUUUUAAAAUUACAUUUUAAAAGUCAAAUGAACAAAAUGUGUGUCAAAACAAGCAUUUAGCUCGAUUUCAACUUCUCUGGUCUCUGCAGUAACCUCUUUGUGGUGUAUUUUUUUCCACUUUAACAGUCAAAUAUUAACCACAGGCACUAAAACUGUGUCCUUUACAUCUGCUUCCUCUCUAUUUUAUGGCCUCACAGAGAGUAGUAGUAACAUGUGGUGUAGCUUACUGAUGGCCACUUUAACAUGAAUUCAAAUUGAAAUUUCCACAAGUCAUAAUAGCUAAACCCAGAGAUUUAAAUUCUUUUACAAUCAAGGCCUGUGAGCACCAGUCAAUUUACAUGAAAGUAAAUGAAGUGUAAAAUAUAACUGUGCACAGUUUGUAGAUUUUCUGUGAGUGAGUUAUUUUUUUCAUUUCUUAGCAGUCAUAUAAUGCUUAUUUUCUUUGUCACUUAUUUGUGUAUUUACUGUGUAAAUGUUUGUAAUAGAUAAGUCAGGGCAAGUUUGUUGACGGUGUAAGCCUCAUUUAUUCUCCAGGUUUCAGUACUGUUGUUUACUGUGGCUUGAUUUUCUGUAGAAAGUGUAAUGAAGAAAACUUCUGUUAUGAAACAGCACAUUCCUCAUUUCAAAAGCGCAAAUUAAAAAAAUUAUACAAUUCAUUUUUUUAAAUUUAUUUUUUAGAAAAUAACAUAAUUAAAUACAGAAAUAAGACUGAGACUUUGCAGAGCUCUGCACAGAAUCCAACAUGAGCUCGGUUAGCACCAAAGAAAAAACCCUUGAUA
ensembl:lncRNA